rnacentral:lncRNA from 1 species
CCCGGCUCUGCCCAGUUCACACUGGAGUGGCUCACCCCACCCCUCAGACAGCAGUGGGAACAAGAAUCACCCUUCAUUCGGCCUCACAGAGUGAGCGCCCACCUGUGCCAGGCUCCAGGCACAAGGCUGAGUGGACCCCAGGCCCAGCCGUUAUGAGUGUCCAUCCUGGUCCAGAUGCACACCUCGCAUGUGCACACCGGCACAUCAGAUCAACCUCACUCCUAGGGCCGUAGUUAGCUAACAUUUUCGGAGCGCCUACUAUGAGCAGGCACUACAUGGAUUGACUUGUGUAAGUCUACAUCCUCAGAGGUGGGGGCUAACAAUGAAACUCCAUUUUACAGACAAGAAAACUGUAUACAGCAAGGUGAAGCAAAACCAGCCCCCGGACUGUCAAACUACACUGCCCUGCCCCACAAGCACACCCUCCCAGGAUGGUGAGGGGGAUGGUUUCUAGGUGAUUCAAGUGCAUUACAUUUAUUGUGCACUUUAUUUCUAUCAUUACAUUGUAAUCUACAAUGAAAUAAUUUUAUACAACUCACCAUAAUGUAGAAUCAGUGGGAGCCCAGAGCUUGUUUUCCUGAGACUAGACGGUCCCAUCUGGGAGUGAUGGGAGACAGUGACAGAUCAUCAGGCAUUAGUUAGAGUUUCAUAAGGAGCAUACAUCCUAUAUCCCUCCAAUGCAGUUCACAACAGGGUUCAAGCUCCUAUGAGAAUCUAAUGCCACCGCUGAUCUGAUAGGAGGCGGAGCUCAGGCAGUAAUGCUAGCAAUGGGGUGCGGCUGUAAUACUGAUGAAGCUGCUCACCUCCGGCUGUGCAGCCCAGUUCCUAACAGACCACGGACAGAUCCUUAGAGGUAGCACUGUGCAGAGACAACCCUUGGCUGGAUGACACUCCAAAUGGCCGAGUGUCCCAGUGAGCCUGAAGCAGGACUGGCUCCCGCACAACCAUUUCCAAAGGCCUCAGCACCCCUGCUCACAGGCAGAUCACAGCACCCCCUCCCGGCAGCGUCGGCAGGUACCCCUUGGCUUCUGGCGUGGGCGGGGCCCUGGUCUCAGGUCUCCACUGAACCUUAGUCCUAUGCUGGGCCCGUAAUUGAAGCUCGGCCAAGAUGUGCUAGUUGGGUGGGUGUGCAGAGCAAUGAAUCCCAUCCCUGGUGACAGGUCCUCUGCACCAGACACAGGGCCACAUGCCUUUGGGGGACAUGAAGGAGCUCUGGAACAGGGGACGCUGUGAGCCCCAGCCCUGGGAUGUGGGAGAAGAGUAGGGAGGCCAUGCAGGCCUGCUGUGAGGAAGUAGAGACCCACACGGCCUGGGAAGUGCCUCUUGUGUGGGCGUGCACACACGCUCCCACAGGAACACCAUGCGCAACAUGCAGGUGUGCAUGGGCCAAGACCACCCACCCCCACAGGACCACACCCUCAGGCACACACUCGCAUCCUUCCACAUUCCGAAAAGGAAGCGGGGUCUGAUCGGGGCAGCACUGGGCCUGGCUCUGAGUCACGGACGGGACCCAGCCUCCCAGAAACAACCCUGUUCAGCUCUGGAGCGAGGUCCCUGUCUGGGAAAAGACGCCAGCCCAGGGAGAACUGGGGCCAAGAGAGCAGCCUUUGUGGGGAGGGUCAGACCUGCCCCUUCCGGCCGCUGGCCCCUCUGCCCAUUCACUUCCCAAACCCCAAGGGCACAAGGAAACGUGAGGUCCAAGCAGGCUCCCGGGUAUCAGAUGAGACCAGAUGCUGGGUUGUUGUUUUUUAAAUAU